AACGAACGCUGGCGGCAGGCUUAACACAUGCAAGUCGAACGGCAGCACGGGGCAACCUGGUGGCGAGUGGCGAACGGGUGAGUAAUGCAUCGGAACGUACCUUUCAGUGGGGGAUAACGUAGCGAAAGUUACGCUAAUACCGCAUAUUCUGUGAGCAGGAAAGCAGGGGAUCGCAAGACCUUGCGCUGAUUGAGCGGCCGAUGUCAGAUUAGCUAGUUGGUGAGGUAAAGGCUCACCAAGGCGUCGAUCUGUAGCGGGUCUGAGAGGAUGAUCCGCCACACUGAAACCGAGACACGGUCCAGACUCCUACGGGAGGCAGCAGUGGGGAAUUUUGGACAAGGGGGGCAGCCCUGAUCCAGCCAUGCCGCGUGAGUGAAGAAGGCCUUCGGGUUGUAAAGCUCUUUCGGCCGGGAAGAAAUCGCACGGGCUAAUACCCUGUGUGGAUGACGGUACCGGAAUAAGAAGCACCGGCUAACUACGUGCCAGCCGCCGCCGUAAUAC
rnacentral:rRNA from 1 species